UCAACUUGAGAGUUUGAUCCUGGCUCAGAACGAACGCUGGCGGCAGGCUUAACACAUGCAAGUCGAACGC
rnacentral:rRNA from 1 species